rnacentral:rRNA from 1 species
UACACUCCUGCGGGAGGCAGCAGUGGGGAAUAUUGGACAAUGGGCGCAAGCCUGAUCCAGCCAUGCCGCGUGAGUGAUGAAGGCCCUAGGGUUGUAAAGCUCUUUCACCGGUGAAGAUAAUGACGGUAACCGGAGAAGAAGCCCCGGCUAACUUCGUGCCAGCAGCCGCGGUAAUACGAAGGGGGCUAGCGUUGUUCGGAUUUACUGGGCGUAAAGCGCACGUAGGCGGACUAUUAAGUCAGGGGUGAAAUCCCGGGGCUCAACCCCGGAACUGCCUUUGAUACUGGUAGUCUUGAGUUCGAGAGAGGUGAGUGGAAUUCCGAGUGUAGAGGUGAAAUUCGUAGAUAUUCGGAGGAACACCAGUGGCGAAGGCGGCUCACUGGCUCGAUACUGACGCUGAGGUGCGAAAGCGUGGGGAGCAAACAGGAUUAGAAACCCUAGUAGUCCCA